GACGAACGCUGGCGGCGUGCUUAACACAUGCAAGUCGAACGGAAAGGCCCUGCUUGCAGGGUACUCGAGUGGCGAACGGGUGAGUAACACGUGGGUGAUCUGCCCUGCACUUCGGGAUAAGCCUGGGAAACUGGGUCUAAUACCGGAUAGGAGCCAUUUUUAGUGUGAUGGUUGGAAAGUUUUUUCGGUGUAGGAUGAGCUCGCGGCCUAUCAGCUUGUUGGUGGGGUAAUGGCCUACCAAGGCGGCGACGGGUAGCCGGCCUGAGAGGGUGGACGGCCACAUUGGGACUGAGAUACGGCCCAGACUCCUACGGGAGGCAGCAGUGGGGAAUAUUGCACAAUGGGCGCAAGCCUGAUGCAGCGACGCCGCGUGGGGGAUGACGGUCUUCGGGUUGUAAACUCCUUUCGCUAGGGACGAAGCUUUUUGUGACGGUACCUAGAUAAGAAGCACCGGCUAACUACGUG
rnacentral:rRNA from 1 species